rnacentral:rRNA from 1 species
GUGGGGAAUCUUGCACAAUGGGGGCAACCCUGAUGCAGCGACGCCGCGUGAGCGAUGAAGCCCUUCGGGGUGUAAAGCUCUUUCGACAGGAACGAUAAUGACGGUACCUGGAGAAGAAGCUGCGGCUAACUACGUGCCAGCAGCCGCGGUAAUACGUAGGCAGCAAGCGUUGUUCGGAGUUACUGGGCGUAAAGAGUGCGUAGGCGGUGCCCCAAGUCUGUUGUGAAAUCUCCCGGCUUAACUGGGAGGGUGCGGUGGAAACUGGGGUGCUUGAGUGUGGGAGAGGUAAGCGGAAUUCCUGGUGUAGCGGUGAAAUGCGUAGAUAUCAGGAGGAACACCGGCGGUGUAGACGGCUUACUGGACCACGACUGACGCUGAGGCACGAAAGCGUGGGUAGCAAACAGGAUUAGAUACCCCUGUAGUCC